rnacentral:tRNA from 1 species
GGAGAGGUCGCGUUGUCUGGCUUAGCGCGCACUCUUGGAAAGCGUGUUACCCACUAAGGUUCGCGGGUUCGAAUCCCGCCCUCUCCGCCA